CCGAAGUCGAUGUGGAACAUGUGUCCGCUGUGCUUCAGCAUGAUGUUGUCGUUGUGACGGUCGCAGAUGCCGAGGAUGAAGGUGGCGACACACCAUCCGGCACAUGAGUGGAUGAAGUUCAUCACAGCCUGAGCAGGGACAAGGGUGUCUGCGCGGAGGGUCCCUUCCAGGCCCCACUCUUGCUGGAUGUUAGCCAGAGUCACUGCGUCUGGCACCACCUCUAUGACGCCUGAGGAUCACAUGAAAUGAACACCUGAACGUGACCAUCCGCAGGUCCAGCCCUUCCUGGAGCCACACGCGGUCCAUGAUUCGGACGAUCUGGAGCACGAGCAUGUCCUGCCGCAGGUCAUCGCUGGUCUGAUCAGCAGAAAAAAAGUGCUUCUUGUCCCAAAAUUCAUGACUUUUGUACAUUGCAGGAGGACUUUUAAAGAUCAUACAGACCGUUUCUGAUCAAAUUUGAAUUCAACUUAAUUUAAACGGAAUCACAAAACCAUUGCGUCAUCAAUAUGUGUUGCAAAAUUAUUAUCACAGUUUCAGUGCUGGGUAUUUUGUUUAAUGAAAUAUAUAUUGGAAACAAUAGUUUGAACACAUGAAUCAAUUACAAUUGCAGAAAAAAUGAUUGAUAUUAAUUUUUACCAUUCAGUUUAAUAC